rnacentral:rRNA from 1 species
UACGUAGGGGGCGAGCGUUGUCCGGAUUUAUUGGGCGUAAAGAGCGUGUAGGCGGCCAGGUAGGUCUGCUGUGAAAACUCGAGGCUCAACCUCGAGCUGUCGGCGGAAACCAUCUGGCUAGAGUCCGGAAGAGGAGAAUGGAAUUCCCGGUGUAGCGGUGAAAUGCGCAGAUAUCGGGAAGAACACCCGUGGCGAAGGCGGUUCUCUGGGACGGUACUGACGCUGAGACGCGAAAGCGUGGGGAGCGAACAGG